rnacentral:rRNA from 1 species
GAUGAACGCUAGCGGCAGGCUUAAUACAUGCAAGUCGAGGGGCAGCGCAGGGUAGCAAUACCUGGGCGGCGACCGGCAAACGGGUGCGGAACACGUACAGAACCUUCCUUCGAGCGGGGGAUAGCCCAGAGAAAUUUGGAUUAAUACCUCAUAGUAUAAUGGUGUGGCAUCACAUUAUUAUUAAAGAUUUAUCACUUUAAGAUGGCUGUGCGUAUGAUUAGGUAGUUGGCGGGGUAACGGCCCACAAAGCCUACGAUCAUUAACUGGUGUGAGAGCACGACCAGUCACACGGGCACUGAGACACGGGCCCGACUCCUACGGGAGGCAGCAGUAAGGAAUAUUGGUCAAUGGACGCAAGUCUGAACCAGCCAUGCCGCGUGGAGGAUGAAGGUCCUCUGGAUUGUAAACUUCUUUUAUCUGGGACGAAAAAAGGCUUUUCUAAGUCGUCUGACGGUACCAGAUGAAUAAGCACCGGCUAACUCCGUGCCAGCAGCCGCCGUAAUAC